GUGCUCUGUCGGUGCGCCCACCGCGCCGAAGGGGGAACUGAACGGGGCUUUAACGGCCCUUGCCUCCGGCUGUGCUGUAGAGCAGUGCGGUGCGGCGUAGUGUGGUGUGGCAUGGCGCGGUGUGUGGGAGCCCGACUGGGCCCCGGAUGGGCGUUGCUGGCGGCGGGCCGGGCAGCCUCCUCUGCCCGGUGAGGCGCCGAGGAAGCCGGCAGAGGCCUCCCGCCGGCCUUCGACCCGGGCGUUACCGCGGAUUUAAUCACAAAGCAGCUCUCAUGUGCCGUGAGGGCGCGGUGCCGGAGAGGCAGUUUGGGGAACGGGGACUUUCGGGGCCGGGACGGGAGGAGGCCUCCCCAGGGGGGCCCGCGUAGCGCUGCGGCUUUAUUUGCAGCGCUGAGCCCGGGUCAGAGCGGGUUCACGCUGCUGCUAGCAGGCCGCCCGAGUGCUGCGCUUCUUCGUGCCGCGUCGGAGGCAGCGGGGUGGUGCCGGUGAGCCGUUAACGCGCGGGAAGGGUCCCACAGUGCAGCCGCUGCGGGGCGCGUCCGAGGACUGGAGGGCAGCCACGGCCCUCGGGGCCUGAAGGCCGGUCUUGAGGUGGCACUCACAGCGACAGAACCACGGUCCGCUUAGUUCUGUCUGAGCGUAGCGUUGCUGCGGUUCAGGUCUAAGUUCUGCACGUAAACAGGUGACGUUCCCAUCAGCAGGAGCUUCAGCGGAGUUAGCACAACCCUGGAGAAAGCUUGCACAGAAUUGGAAGAAUUUACAUCCUGAACCAUUCCUGAUCUGGUAAAUUCCAUAUAAAGUUGUUCAUUAGAUCUCAGUGAUCUGAACAAUCUGUAAGACUUAUGGAGAAAAAAGUUGGGACAAGUUGUACAGUGUGUGGAAAUGCAUGUGGAAAAUCUCUAUGGAAAAAUCAGGUAAAUUAUAUUCCUCGAAGAUUAGUGUAUACAGAAACACAAAUAAAUUAUGCAUAAAUUAUUAGCAGAACUGCAAGAAUUCAGUUAUUUGGAUGUUUUUUAGGAUGAAAAAUGUGGAAUUGACCUGUAAGACCUGGCAAUUAGUAUGCAGAGCACUGUAGCAUUUUGCAGUCUGGCACACAGCUCUAAGAAUGACAGCCUCCUGCAGAACUGGGCACAUUGAUCUAAG
ensembl:lncRNA